AGACCGUGGUGUGGACAGCAUCUCAACAAGUCUUUAUACCUUUCCCAAGCGUCGUACAUGCUCUUCAUCAUCCAUUUGCACAAAAGAAGAAAUGUCAUUUCUCAAUUU
rnacentral:snoRNA from 1 species